rnacentral:misc_RNA from 1 species
AAGUCGUAACAAGGUUUCCGUAGGUGAACCUGCGGAAGGAUCAUUAUCGAGUUUUGAACGGGUUGUAGCUGGCCUUUAACGAGGCAUGUGCACACCUGGCUCAUCCACUCUCAACCUCUGUGCACUUUAUGUAAGAAACGGUGUAAGCCAGCUAUUUCAUAGUUGGUAACAAGCCUUUCUUAUGUUUACUACAAACGCUUCAGUUAUAGAAUGUUUACUGUGUAUAACACAAUUAUAUACAACUUUCAGCAACGGAUCUCUUGGCUCUC